UACGUAGGGUCCGAGCGUUGUCCGGAAUUAUUGGGCGUAAAGGGCUCGUAGGCGGUUCGUCACGUCGGGAGUGAAAACUCGGGGCUUAACCCCGAGCCUGCUUCCGGUACGGGCAGACUAGAGGUAGGCAGGGGAGGGCGGAACUCCUGGUGUAGCGGUGGAAUGCGCAGAUAUCAGGAGGAACACCGGUGGCGAAGGCGGCUAUCUGGACAGAGUCUGACGCUGAGGCGCGAAAGCUAGGGGAGCAAACAGG
rnacentral:rRNA from 1 species